CUCCGGUUGAUCCUGCCGGACCCGACUGCUAUCAGAGUGGGACUAAGCCAUGCGAGUCAACGCAGCAAUGCGUGGCAUACGGCUCAGUAACACGUAGUCAACAUGCCCAGGGGACGUGGAUAACCUCGGGAAACUGAGGAUAAACCGCGAUAGGCCAAGGUUUCUGGAAUGGACACUGGCUGAAACCUAUAUGGCCCCUGGAUUGGACUGCGGCCGAUCAGGCUGUUGGUGAGGUAAUGGCCCACCAAACCUGUAACCGGUACGGGCUUUGAGAGAAGGAGCCCGGAGAUGGGCACUGAGACAAGGGCCCAGGCCCUAUGGGGCGCAGCAGGCGCGAAAAUUCUGCAAUAGGCGAAAGCUUGACAGAGUUACUCUGAGUGAUGCCCGCUAAGGGCAUCUUUUGGCACCUCUAAAAAUGGUGCAGAAUAAGGGGUGGGCAAGUCUGGUGUCAGCCGCCGCGGUAAUACCAGCACCCCGAGUGGUCGGGACGAUUAUUGGGCCUAAAGCAUCCGUAGCCGGUUCUACAAGUCUUCCGUUAAAUCCACCUGCUUAACAGAUGGGCUGCGGAAGAUACUAUAGAGCUAGGAGGCGGGAGAGGCAAGCGGUACUCGAUGGGUAGGGGUAAAAUCCGUUGAUCCAUUGAAGACCACCAGUGGCGAAGGCGGCUUGCCAGAACGCGCUCGACGGUGAGGGAUGAAAGCUGGGGGAGCAAACCGGAUUAGAUACCCGGGUAGUCCCAGCUGUAAACGAUGCAGACUCGGUGAUGAGUUGGCUUAUUGCUAACUCAGUGCCGCAGGGAAGCCGUUAAGUUUGCCGCCUGGGGAGUACGGUCGCAAGACUGAAACUUAAAGGAAUUGGCGGGGGAGCA
rnacentral:rRNA from 1 species